UCCGGCGUGGUCUAGUGGCUAGGAUACCUGGCUUUCACCCAGAAGGCCCGGGUUCGAUUCCCGGCGUCGGAA
rnacentral:tRNA from 1 species